ensembl:snoRNA
GCAUGGCUGAAUACUGUGUACUUUAGUCAGUAUUUUACACAGCCAGACACCAUGCAAAAGUAAAGUCUUCCUUUUAUAAUAACUGUGGUAUGCUAAGGUUUUUCAUAGUGUGCCCCUAUUAAAAGUGAAUACAGAC